CGACGGGUGGCCGGCCCCCGAGGUGGACGCCGCCUUCGACUGGUGGCUCGCCUUCGUCGACGAGGCGAGCGCGGGGCUCCAGGCCCGGCUCGCCGCCC
rnacentral:tRNA from 1 species